UGGGGAAUAUUGCGCAAUGGGCGAAAGCCUGACGCAGCGACGCCGCGUGGGGGAUGACGGCCUUCGGGUUGUAAACCUCUUUCAGCAGGGACGAAGCCGCAAGGUGACGGUACCUGCAGAAGAAGCACCGGCCAACUACGUGCCAGCAGCCGCGGUAAUACGUAGGGUGCAAGCGUUGUCCGGAAUUAUUGGGCGUAAAGAGCUCGUAGGCGGUUCGUCGCGUCGGCUGUGAAAACCUGAGGCUCAACCUCAGGCCUGCAGUCGAUACGGGCGGACUUGAGUACUGCAGGGGAGACUGGAAUUCCUGGUGUAGCGGUGAAAUGCGCAGAUAUCAGGAGGAACACCGGUGGCGAAGGCGGGUCUCUGGGCAGUAACUGACGCUGAGGAGCGAAAGCGUGGGGAGCGAACAGGAUUAGAUACCCUGGUAGUCCACGCCGUAAACGUUGGGCGCUAGGUGUGGGGGCCAUUCCACGGUCUCCGUGCGCAGCUAACGCAUUAAGCGCCCCGCCUGGGGAGUACGGCC
rnacentral:rRNA from 1 species